CUGCUUACCAUGCAGUCGAACGGAGUAGAAAUACUUAGUGGCGGACGGGUGAGUAACGCGUGAGAAUCUACCUUCAGGACGGAGACAACAGUUGGAAACGACUGCUAACCCCCGAUGAACCGAAAGGGCAAAUAUUUAUAGCCUGAAGAAGAGCUCGCGUCCGAUUAGCUAGUUGGAGAGGUAAAAGCUCACCAAGGCGACGAUCGGUAGCUGGUCUGAGAGGACGAUCAGCCACACUGGGACUGAGACACGGCCCAGACUCCUACGGGAGGCAGCAGUGGGGAAUUUUCCGCAAUGGGCGAAAGCCUGACGGAGCAAGACCGCGUGGGGGAAGAAGGCUCUUGGGUUGUAAACCCCUUUUCUCUGGGAAGAAAGUUGUGAAAGCAGCCUGACGGUACCAGAGGAAUCAGCAUCGGCUAACUCCGUGCCAGCAGCCGCGGUAAGACGGAGGAUGCAAGCGUUAUCCGGAAUGAUUGGGCGUAAAGCGUCCGCAGGUGGCAGUUCAAGUCUGCUGUCAAAGACCGGGGCUUAACCUCGGAAAGGCAGUGGAAACUGAACAGCUAGAGUAUGGUAGGGGCAAAGGGAAUUCCUGGUGUAGCGGUGAAAUGCGUAGAGAUCAGGAAGAACAUCGGUGGCGAAGGCGCUUUGCUGGACCAUAACUGACACUCAGGGACGAAAGCUAGGGGAGCGAAUGGGAUUAGAUACCCCAGUAGUCCUAGCCGUAAACGAUGGAUACUAGGUGUUGUCUGUAUCGACCCGGACAGUGCCGUAGCUAACGCGUUAAGUAUCCCGCCUGGGGAGUACGCACGCAAGUGUGAAACUCAAAGGAAUUGACGGGGGCCCGCACAAGCGGUGGAGUAUGUGGUUUAAUUCGAUGCAACGCGAAGAACCUUACCAGGACUUGACAUGUCGCGAAUCCUCUGGAAACAGAGGAGUGCCUUAGGGAGCGCGAACACAGGUGGUGCAUGGCUGUCGUCAGCCCGUGUCGUGAGAUGUUGGGUUAAGUCCCGCAACGAGCGCAACCCUCGUGUUUAGUUGCCAUCAUUAAGUUGGGCACUCUAAACAGACUGCCGGUGACAAACCGGAGGAAGGUGGGGAUGACGUCAAGUCAGCAUGCCCCUUACGUCCUGGGCUACACACGUACUACAAUGGUAGGGACAGAGGGCAGCCAACCCGCGAGGGCGAGCUAAUCCCGUAAACCCUGCCUCAGUUCAGAUUGCAGGCUGCAACUCGCCUGCAUGAAGGCGGAAUCGCUAGUAAUCGCAGGUCAGCAUACUGCGGUGAAUCCGUUCCCGGGCCUUGUACACACCGCCCGUCACACCAUGGAAGUUGGCCACGCCCGAAGUCAUUACUCUAACCUUUCGAGGAGGAGGAUGCCGAAGGC
rnacentral:rRNA from 1 species